rnacentral:rRNA from 1 species
UGGAGGCGGUUUGUUAAGUUAGUUGUUGAAUCGCCCGGCUUAACCGGGCAAUCGCGAUUAAAACUGGCGAACUAGAGUGUGGGAGAGAAAGGUAGAAUUCUCGGAGUAGCGGUAAAAUGCGUAGAUCUCGAGAGGAAUACCGGUUGCGAAGGCGGCCUUUUGGCCCACCACUGACGCUGGAGCGCGAAAGCGUGGGGAGCAAACA